CUUCUUUUUUUUUUUUUUAUGGUUAUUGGAGGAUAUGGUUCUUGAUUUUGUUGAUGUUCUUUUUUCCAAUUUUGAUUUUCUUGAUGCUCUCUUUCCUUUUCUCAAUGGUGACGUGUUGAUCAUAUUGUGGCGGUUCAUGGUUGCAUUCUGCUGUCUUACUGGUUGGUGCUGUAAGGCACUGUUUUUGCAUAUGGACAAACAAGUAGUGGAAAAACACUCACCAUGCGUGGAUCAAAGUCUGAGCUUGGAGUCAUCCCCCUUGCUGUCCAUGAUCUUUUUAACAUUAUACAACAGGUGAUGCAGUCUAAUGUUAUUUUCUCUCUCUAAGGAAAUGGAUCCUGAGUUUCUUUUACGCAUGUGACAUAUAGAGAUUUACAAUGAGGAGAUAAAUGACUUGUAAGCCCCUGACACAGAAAACUGCAGAUUCAUGAAAGUAAAGGAGGAAUCUUUGUAUCCGGGUUAAGAGAAGAAAUUGUGCCAUCUGCUGAUCAAGUCCUUGAACUUAUGGAGUUUGGAGAGUCUCAUCUCAUAUUGGGGAGACGAAUAUGAAUGUUUAUAAUAGUAGGCUGCACACAAUAUUUCGCAUGAUCAUCGAGAGCAGGGAAAAAAACUGGUGAUGCAGAGGCAGAAUUCUCAUGCAAUGCAGUUCAUGCUUCUGUCAUGAAUUUGGUGGAUCUUGCCGGCUCAGAACGCGCUGCAAAGACUGGUACAGACCGCGUUACGUUAAAGGAGAUGUCCCACAUCAAUAAAAGCCUAAUUAUCUUAGGAACUGUCAUAAAGAAACUGAGUGAAGGUGCUGAGAGCCAAGGAUGGCUGUAGAAACAAAGUGGCAUAACUGCAUUACCUCAGAUUUGUUGGUUCUAGAACUCCUCUUCUCCAGCAAAACUCGUACUUACAAUGGUAGGCAUUUUGUUUUUUAGACAUUUCUCUAACUGUUUUCAUCGAGACCCAUACUUAGACUGUAUCACCUACAAAUGCGAUUUUUUGUUCAUAUGUCUAAAAAUUGCAUCGAGAUAGAAAGUAAUAUUAGACUGUAUCACCUACAAAUGCGGAAGCCAAGUCUCAAAGAACAAGCCAUAUAUGUUUGCUCAAUCUAAGACCAAAUAGAGAAUGACUACCAGGAGACCUUAACUCAAUUUGACCAGCUGGACCAGCAUGAUUACAAUUAUCUUUUAGCCUUAAU